UCUGCACUGGCAUCUGCAGGCCUGAAGUAUCUGGUGUUCAUUUCCUAGUGCCGCAGGUUUAAGCGAUAUUCUGGAGCUGCCGGCAUGCAGAAGUGCAAUGUCAGAGAUCCUGGGCAGGCACAGCAGUUUAAUGGCCAUUCCUUUAUAUUAAGCUUUGCAGUAUUUUACUUGACCAUGAUAAAGGACUGUAGAAAACCUGCAGAAUAUGGCAACUGACAAGGAACUGAACUUCCCGAAUAUUUCUGCUUUCAUUUUGGAAAAGCUCCAAUUUUCAGCUCUUAUAGUUGUGAAGAUGUGAAGUGUGAAGCAAUACCUAUUGAGAUCUCACAAGAUAGAGGGGUGGCUGAGAAUAUUUCCAGAUAGUCCUGCAUAGCUCUUUGCUUCUCCCGUGACUAGCAAAACCAGAAGGGGGGGAAACCCAAAUAGUAGGACUGUGAAAUUAUGCAAGCAAGACACAAUGAAAAUUCUGCUUGUUUUGCAUUCACACACACACACACACACACACACACACACACACACACUGCAGAAUUCAGCUUUUCUGCAUGCAAAUUUUUAUUUUAUUUCCCUUUUAGCACAGCUCUGAUUUUAUUCCUGCAAAACCAAAUCCUCUCUUCUGCUUUCCUCUCUUGCAAAAACUCCCCGAGAUAUAAUUGAUGCUACCAGAGGAAAACUGCAGAAGUGCUCUAAUUGCAGCAACCAUAAUUUCUGGCUCGCAUCUUUUCAUUGCCUUGACUCAUGCCAUGAAUGGAUAUGCCUAAAGAUGCACAAUUUGAUUUACACUGAAACCUGUGCAUGAUGUAUCACAGCUGCAGUGACACCUUUUUGGCCUUGAAAUGAGAGAAAGAAAUAGUGAUUUUGGACACUGACACUGCGGUGGGACAAAAUAACGUAUUUAAUGGAUGCAAUAUCAUGAGGCUGAGAAUAAAUUGUCAGAUGGUAGUCCUUCUUCUGAGUACCAUAUAUAUUCCCCACCCUUCCUAGGAAUGCCCCCUCCCCUGGCCUCAUGCAGAGGGGAGGGCAAUUUGUCUCAGCCCCAGGAAGCCCUUGAUUUGGCCUCAGCAUUUGGUGGGGCAGGGCUAAGGUUGCCACUCCUGUGACUCCCCGCCCCCCGAAUGCUCAGUACGGAGUUUGGUCCCCCCACCCUCCCUUCCCUAGGAUCAGAGCAGGUCUAGAGGCUGGUCGCCCUCCUGGGGGGCCGAGUAGGAAUUUUUGGCUCCCAACACAUUGGCCAUGUUGGGUUUUUCCCCCGCCUACUCCGUUCUGCUACCCUAGCGUUAAGGGUUAGUUAGUUAGGUCACGGUGAGGCAGGCACAGUGCGGGAUGGGUGGUAAGCAGAUGGGAUGGAACAUUGGUGAGCACCCUUGGACAGUUAAAACGGGUGAUUGGUCAAUCGCUCCCUUGUGGUUUGUGUGGCCCAGGGAGGACGAUUCACCAUGAAACCUGCUUCAGGCACUUCACAUACCCUUGGGCAGCGCGGUCCGGGGUGUGCGAAGACCUAGAAGGAUCCAGGCCCCCGUGGGGGUUGGCCGUGAAGGGGAGGGAGCAGGUUUUCCACCUGCUGCCUUCCGGAGCCAGGGUGUGUAGCCCAAGCAAGGCACGGGGGAGGACGCGGUAGUCCGAACCCAGUCAUUGCUAGGCCCCGCACUGUCUUGGGGAGGUGGGCUUAACCCUAUCCAGUCCGCUAAUCCUAUUAUAGUUUGUCAAUAAAGCUGUGGCCCU